AUACGCCUCGCCGCAGAACAGGGGCCCAGGACUGCUACUUCGGAGCGGGGCGGUCUGCAGCACCCCAAACCCGAAAUCCCUCAUUUAUCAGGCCGCCGGCAGCGGGAGGAGACGCUCCUCGUCCCCUGCCCCACCUAGGAAGCCGCCGGCGCUGGGGUUGCGCGGCCGUGGUGGAAGGAGGGGGAGUCAGUGAGAGAGGGACACCGUGACUGAGCCAGGGGGCACCGACUUCGGCCCCACCACCCCUCGCGGCGAUCGCCGCCGCCGCCGCCGUCGCAGUCGCCGUAGCCGCCCUGGCCGCUUAAGAACCCCGGAACGUGCGUCAGCGCCACCUCACAAUCGCGCCGCCCCCCGCGGUGCGUCCCGGCACGCGCGGGCGCGAGGCCACCGCGUCCCCGUCGCCCCUCCCCGCCCCUCAUUACUAUGCAGACGCAGCCGAGGGCGCGCUCGCGCUCCCGGGAGGGCGGGAGCGAGCGGCGUGUCCCGUUGGGUCUCUCCGCUCCCGGGGAAAUGGACAGGCCGGUUGGGGUGGGGGUCGGCUGGCAAACAGUGGUCGGGAGCAUUGGGCGGGCGCGCGCACGAGGGCAAGCACGCGCGGGAGGGAGGGACGGUUCCUGGGCAACGGCCCCUCCUUGGCGCGGGAUCCGCGCAGAGUCUGCCUGGGUCGCACGCGUCUCCGCCCCUCGCGGUGCCUCCUCCUUCCUGUCACCUCGGUUCCGCCCUGGGUGGGGAGAAGCCCUGCUGCACCACUCGGGCUUCCCAGAGCGGGGCUGGCCCGCGGGGGAAACUGAGGCCCGGGACCCCGACCGGCGCCUGCACUGUGCGACCCGCGUAGAAAUAGGCGCCCGAGGGGCCCCCAGCGCAACGCGGGAGCCCGGCCCAGCCCGGGGGUCCUGUGGUGAACUAGCGUCUGGGCUCUGCCGGCUUGAAGUCCGCUGAGCGCCUCGCCGCGCACCUCUAGACCCCGAGUCCCCGAUCUAGGGCCUCCUUGUAGCCCUAGGUAGCGCCCUCUAAGCUUGUUUCUGUUUUUAGGCGCUGGUAGGAGUGCUGUCACCGACGUCGUAGAGCCGCCGAGGGUGUUUCUGUAGGGUAAACAUGAAGCCUCGGCUAUAUUCCAGGCAUUUUCACUUGGGUAAGAAGGAACAAAGUCCCUGGAACAAACACGCUCCGCGUGGUUAUUUACACACUCGGAUGCGUGGAACGGGUUCCACGGCGAGCUCCCAUAGUAACCCCGGGCCAGCUCCGCUUCAUAAAAGCCUUUCGUGUGCCAUCAGGGCUGCAGCGUGGGACUCCUCCCCACCACAUUCAUUCCGGCGUCCCCGCCCCUUCCCCCCAGGGAGACUCUAAUUUAUUCCUAAGCUUUAUGAAUUUUCAAGGGAGAAAUAGUUCUUACAUCAGGGAAAAAAGGAGGUUCUGACUCAGCAGCAGACUUGUUGAGACUUGCAAAAUGGAAGGGAGAGAGCUUUCCAUGGUAGAGCUCUUUAGAAGCAUUAGAGGAGGAACUAAUCCUGUGUUUCCUUUUGUAUAGAAACAUUUUACAUAAAGUAUUUGAAGGUCUAGAUAAAGAAUAACAGAGUGAUCCAUACUACAUGAUGAGGUGAACUUUAUGUUUCUGUUUUGUAAUUUUAACUGUUUUGCUUGAUGCUUAGAGAAAUGAAACUAUUAAAUGAAUCCUAGAAUAUAGACUCAAACCCCCAAAGCAAUAGAAGGUGGAUUCAGACUUUACUUGAUUUUGGUUUACAAGUGAACUAAGAUUAAAUAUUUAAUUUUAUAAAUUAGCAUACUCUUACUGAUGUAGGCAGAGUGUACAUUUUUAUAAGUCCUCAUUCUCUAUUUGAAUUCUACUUCUGUUCAGUGUCUCAAAUUUAUAUAAAUCGAAAUAAACAUGGUAGAAAGAGAGCAACAUUGCCCCAGGGAACUAUACUUCAUGUAUAAUGUUUAUCUCUGCUAUCCUGUCCAAUGAACCAAGUUUUAUGUUGCCUUUACAAUAAGGAAAAAGUACUUUUUAAAAAACUCAAAUGGUUCAGAAUUUGGUCAGGUGAAUAGAAAAUUGGUUCAACUUAUUAAUCUCAAAAUCAUUUUUAACAGUCAGGCAAAAUGUAGAACUGGAGAAGUAUUUUUAUUCUAAAUUACAAUGUCUAGAAAAUAACCUGAGCUCAGAAUUUAAAAUAUAAAUGGUUAUUUUCAGAGUAUAUAUUGACAUAUUAAAUAUUCAUUUUUUAAAAGGUAUUGUGCAGGAAAAAAAACUACUUCUGCAACUAAGGAAUGUAAAGUCUUAACAACGGAUGAUUUUUUUCCAAGUACAGUUGUAUUUGAUUGGAAUCAUUUGCAGAUCCAACAACAAAUCUUGAAAUAGGGGGAAAAUACAGGUAUAAACCUUAGCUCAAUUAUCCACUAACACCGCAGUUAGUAAAGAGGAGAGAGCACAUACUUUUAAAAGCUAACUGGUGCCUUUCUGGGCUAGAGUUUUGAACAAAAACAAGAUUUCUUAGUGCUCUGGUACUAGUUUUGUCUUAGAGGAUUUAGAGCUCUCUGAAACGGGGAAAAGCCAUCAAGUUUGUUAUUACAUAAUAAUGUCAAACUUCAUAUUAAAUACACCAAAUUCCAAAUCCUGCCAGGGCCUCUACUCACUACUUUUGUGAGGGCCCCAUUUUUUUAGAGCAGAAAGUUACUUUCUGACAUCUUGUAAGCUGGUGAUCUUGCCCUUAUUGAAAAUAUUCAAAUGAAAAGGUUUCCUAGGGUGGAGAGUGGAGUGGGGUAGGGAGAAGGAGCAGCAAAUACUGAGGAGGGACUAUGGUCCUCUAGCAGUUUCCAUGCCAAGAUCUUAUGAGUCCAUUCAAUGAUUUUUUUGGUUUUUUACAUGAAAAUAUUUUGACUCAUGAUCAUUAACUAGGACCUUGACUUUGUAUUUGACAGUCCCUUAUUCAUUUACUCCCACUGUCCUGGGCAAGUAUUUUUAAAAGUAUUUUUGCUACAACCCAAUAUAUGUGCAAGUACACACUCAUGC
rnacentral:lncRNA from 1 species